AACUAGAAUCGGGUCACCUGCCCUCCAUGCAGCAGCUUGUGCAAAUCCUGGACAACGAGAUGAAGAUGAACGUUCACAUGAACACAAAACCCCUCCACUCCUAACCCUACUCUUCACAUCCUGGCUGGAGCUACAAGCCCCUCCAUGUUUGAGGUGGGUUUCUCUCUGGGCUGUGAUUUGAUGUUUAUGAAGGUCUGCGCUGAAGGCAGGAUAACUGCUAGCACAGACUGGAUGUCCCCAUCACUCUUCACCGUGCCCCUCAGAGACAACCUGCCCCUGACGCCAGAGAGGGAUCCAUGGCAACAGUGCCGGCCAUUGUGUCAUUUUCUUGUAAUAUUCAUACUACUGCAGAAAUCAUCCAGGUGACAUCAGUGGUCCCAUAAUGAGAUUAACCUUGAUUCGUAUAGUCUUUAACUUGUUGCAUAUAAUUAAAUCAUGUGGUUUAAAAAAAAGCGAUGUCCCUUGUACCACUGAGUCAUAAGUAGGAUUUAAGUUUAUUGUUUUAAUAGUAACUUAGCUGUGUAGAAAAUGCAACACUUAAAUAUGCUGUCAUUGUUAAAUUAACAACACAAUUGUGUCUUGGUAUGAUUUCCAAAUAAUUUUUAUAUUGACAUAAUUUGGAGGAAGGGUUAGAGGAUGAAUAAAACUUGGAACUAUUUAA